GCGAACGCUGGCGGCAGGCUUAACACAUGCAAGUCGAACGGCCGUAGCAAUACGGCAGUGGCAGACGGGUGAGUAACACGUGGGAAUGUACCUUUCGGUUCGGAACAACUCCGGGAAACUGGAGCUAAUACCGGAUACGCCCUUACGGGGAAAGAUUUAUCGCCGAGAGAUCAGCCCGCGUCCGAUUAGCUAGUUGGUGGGGUAAUGGCCCACCAAGGCUCCGAUCGGUAGCUGGUCUGAGAGGAUGAUCAGCCACACUGGGACUGAGACACGGCCCAGACUCCUACGGGAGGCAGCAGUGGGGAAUAUUGGACAAUGGGCGCAAGCCUGAUCCAGCCAUGCCGCGUGAGUGAUGAAGGCCCUAGGGUUGUAAAGCUCUUUCAGCGGGGAAGAUAAUGACGGUACCCGCAGAAGAAGCCCCGGCUAACUUCGU
rnacentral:rRNA from 1 species